GGUUAAAAAGCUCGUAGUUGGAUCUCGGCGGGCAGGGGGUGGUUCGCUCUUCAGCGCUACUGCCCCGCUUUGCCCGUGUGAUUGGCGGAGGUUUCGGGGUGCUCUUCGUUGAGUGACUCGGAGCGCCGUCAGGUUUACUUUGAAAAAAUUAGAGUGCUCAAAGCAGGCUUUUCACGCUUGAAUAUUCGUGCAUGGAAUAAUGGAAUAGGAACUCGUUUCUAUUUUGUUGGUUUUCGGAAAUCGAGUUAAUGAUUAGCAGGGACAAUUGGGGGCAUUAGUAUUCAGACGACAGAGGUGAAAUUCUUGGACCGUCUGAAGACUGACUACUGCGAAAGCAUUUGCCAAGAGUGUUUUCAUUAAUCAAGAACGAAAGUUAGAGGUUCGAAGGCGAUCAGAUACCGCCCUAGUUCUAACCAUAAACGAUGCAGCUAGCGAUCUGCCGAGUUUUUUUUGUAGGCUCCGCAGGAAGCUUUCGGGAAACCAAAGCUUUUGGGUUCCGGGGGAAGUAUGGUUGCAAAGCUGAAACUUAAAGGAAUUGACGGAAGGGCACCACCAGGAGUGGAGCCUGCGGCUUAAUU
rnacentral:rRNA from 1 species